CCUGUUGCUGGAUAAUGUCUGUUUAGAUGCCAUUUAAUUCAUUCAGUUGCAGGGUGUCACCAUGAGAUGGCGCUUCCUUCACAAAAACACAUUCACACACAGACCAACACAGUACACUGCAGAGUCAUGUUUCUUUUUUCAGGCCAUGGUUUGUAGAGAAUGUUUCCCAGCGUUAUCUCCUUUACACACUGGGGGUGGGGGGGGCGUGACAAAUAUACCACAUGAAAAUGAGAAAUACUUGCCUGUGAAUAUUAUAUGUCUAGGGCUUUUAUUGUGAAAGAUAAGAACAGAAGUAGUAGAUCUGGUCUGCGAUGCCUUUGUAAAGGUUGAAAGGAGUAAUAAAGUUUGCUGUCUUGGUUCAGACCAGAGCCUCCAUGUUGUUGUUUCAUAAAUAUUUCACGGUGCAAACUCAGAAAAAUCUACCUUGUUACAGAAAAAAAAAGUCGCUUUUUCGCCGCUUAAUAUUCGCAUUCUGUGUUAAAGUAUUCAUGACAUCGAAAACAGUUCUAAAAAAUAUUUUU